ACAUCCAACGUUACCUAACAGAAACACGAGUAACAGAUGAGCUGCAAUUCUGUAGACAUUCGCCAUUCUGCUGUACUUUAAACUUGCUUGGAUAGAUUUGAUGCUGAUGGUCUAUUUCUGCAAAACGUAGCCAACGUUGUACAAACAGUUUGUUACUGUGCAGUGUUCUGAACGGUAUCAAGUAACUUGGUCGAGGCAGAGCCUUCUUUAUAGCCUCGCUCGGCCUUGCUAUGGCUCUUACGUACAUUCCAAUGGAAAAACUGCAUGGG
rnacentral:lncRNA from 1 species